GGGCCGGCGGCCGCGGUGCGGGAGGCGGCAACGGGACGGCGACGCGCGGUUGGCGCGCCCGGGGUCCGGCUUCUGCAUCCGAGGAGAGAUGAAUACGGCCAAGGCCCGGGUGGGGCCCGCGGUCGACCGACCUGCGCCACCCGAGGAGAAGGAAGGCGAGGCGGGCGGGAGGGAGCCGGGGGCGGACGCGGCCCCCGGGCCCAGCACCGCGUUCCGCCUCCUGGUGACUCGGCGGGAACCGGCGGUGAAGCUGCAGUAUGCGGUGAGCGGCCUGGAGCCGCUGGUGUGGUCCGAUGACCACCGCGUGUCGGUGUCCACGGCCCGCAGCAUCGCUGUGCUGGAGCUCAUCUGCGACGUGCACAACCCGGGCCAGGACCUGGUUAUCCACCGCACCUCGGUGCCUGCGCCUCUCAACAGCUGCUUUCUCAAAGUUGGCUCAAAAACGGAAGUUGCUGAGUGUAAGGAGAAAUUUGCCACCUCUGAAGACCCCACAGUCAGUCAGACUUUCAUGUUGGACAGGGUGUUCAACCCUGAGGGGAAGGCUUUGCCACCAUUGAGAGGAUUCAAGUACACUAGCUGGUCCCCCAUGGGCUGUGAUGCUAAUGGCAGGUGCCUCCUGGCAGCACUGACCAUGGACAAUCGCCUGACCAUCCAGGCUAACCUCAACAGACUGCAGUGGGUCCAGCUGGUCGAUCUGACGGAGAUUUAUGGAGAACGUCUUUAUGAGACCAGUUACAGGUUCUCUAAAAGUGAGGCCCCAGAAGGGAAUCUCAGGGAUUUUGCUGAGUUUCAGAGGAGACACAGCAUGCAGACACCAGUCAGGAUGGAGUGGUCAGGCAUCUGUACCACUCAGCAGGUCAAGCAUAACAACGAGUGCCGCGACGUGGGCAGCGUGCUCCUGGCCGUCCUCUUUGAAAACGGUAACAUUGCUGUGUGGCAGUUUCAGCUACCGUUUGUAGGAAAGGAAUCUAUCUCUUCAUGCAACACAAUUGAGUCAGGAAUCAACUCUCCUAGUGUUUUGUUUUGGUGGGAAUAUGAGCACAAUAAUCGGAAAAUGAGCGGCCUUAUUGUGGGGAGUGCUUUUGGACCUGUAAAAAUUCUUCCUGUCAAUCUCAAAGCAGUUAAAGGCUAUUUCACGUUAAGGCAGCCUGUCGUCUUGUGGAAAGAAAUGGACCAGUUGCCAGUACAGAGCAUCAAGUGUGUACCGCUGUAUCACCCUUACCAGAAGUGUAGUUGUAGCUUAGUGGUGGCCGCAAGAGGACCCUAUGUGUUUUGGUGUCUUCUUCUGAUCUCCAAAGCAGGUCUGAAUGUUCACAAUUCUCACGUCACAGGCCUGCACUCACUGCCGAUCGUCUCCAUGACUGCAGACAAGCAGAAUGGGACGGUAUAUACCUGUUCCAGUGAUGGGAAGGUGAGGCAGCUGAUUCCCAUUUUCACAGAUGUUGCAUUGAAGUUUGAACACCAGUUGAUUAAACUCUCGGAUGUGUUUGGCUCAGUGAGGACACACGGGAUAGCCGUGAGCCCCUUUGGUGCGUACCUGGCCGUCAUUACCACUGAGGGCAUGGUCAACGGCCUCCAUCCCGUUAACAAAAACUACCAGGUUCAGUUCGUUACUCUCAAGAGCUUUGAAGAGGCAGCUGCUCAGCUUCUGGAAUCGUCAGUUCAAAAUCUCUUUAAGCAGGUAGAUUUAAUAGACCUAGUACGUUGGAAGAUUUUAAAAGAUAAACAUAUCCCUCAGUUUUUACAAGAAGCUUUGGAAAAAAAGAUUGAAAGCAGUGGGGCCACCUAUUUUUGGCGUUUCAAACUCUUCCUCCUGAGGAUUUUAUACCAGUCGAUGCAGAAAACCGCUUCAGAAGCCUUAUGCAGACCCAUCCUUGAGGACUCAAAAAUCUUACUGGUUGACUCACCUGGGACGGGCAGUGCUGAGGGUGAGCAGCCGGAAGAAGGCACUUCCUCCGAACAGACGAAUAAGCAGGGCCUUCAGGAGAGGAGCAAAGAAGGUGGUCCGGAGGGCCCCACAGAUGACUCACUCACUCAGUCUGGAGACAUUGGAGGCCGAGAGCCAAUGGAAGAGAAACUCCUUGAAAUCCAAGGGAAAAUUGAAGCUGUGGAAAUGCACUUGACCCGGGAGCACAUGAAGCGAGUCUUAGGCGAAGUAUACCUGCACACCUGGAUCACAGAAAACACUAGCAUCCCCACCCGGGGACUCUGUAACUUUUUAAUGUCUGAUGAAGAGUAUGAUGACAGAACCGCACGGGUGCUGAUCGGACACAUCUCAAAGAAGAUGAACAAGCAAACUUUCCCCGAGCACUGUAGUUUGUGUAAAGAGAUUUUGCCGUUCACAGAUCGCAAACAGGCGGUCUGUUCCAAUGGCCACAUUUGGCUCCGGUGCUUCUUAACGUACCAGUCCUGCCAGAGUUUGAUAUACAGGAGGUGUUUGCUCCAUGACAGCAUUGCCCGCCAUCCAGCCCCGGAAGAUCCUGACUGGAUUAAGAGGUUACUGCAAAGCCCCUGCCCUUUCUGUGAUUCUCCUGUCUUCUGAAUGUCCACGAUGGGAAGAUGGAAAGGGCAUGUACCCUGCUGUGGAAAGUGCCGUCCAGCCCCAAGAGCUAGGACGUGCAUGAGGAGAGGCGCCCUUCAUGACUGUACAUAGGGCGUGGGGACUCACUGCUGAAGUGCGUUCUCUGUCUCCACGGACUAAAGGAUGUCUUUAAAGUGACUGAGUGCAGAGAUUUUAAGUCCUUUUGAGAUGAACGUUAUCCCCCAACUCCUUGCCAAUGAGGAACACUUAUUUUUCAAGUGUCUUGACUGAAGCAGUUUGAACAAAACGCAUGCCCUGUCAUUUCUCAGAACAGAAUGGUCCCUUCUAGGGAGUAUGGAUAAGGGCCUUGCUGGGCCGAGUUAGGCUUUUUAAUCCUGGCCUUGGUCUGGAACUGCCUUGUGGUUCCAGGGACCUUUAGUUACCUGGUACGUGGUAUGCAGUGUCCCAACAGAUAUUAAAGUGUCUGAAGCAACCUGUGGGCCUGAUAUUUUGUUCUCAACAAAUAGCUGCAGAUCUGCAUCCUGCCACUUGUUUUUCAUGCAUAUGGAAAACAUUUUCUUAAAACUAUAUAUUUGAAAGAGGUUGAAGCCAAGACUAAAGUUGGUUUUAAUGUGUCAAAAGAUCAGGUGACUCUUGUAAGUUAAUAAUUGUGACUUAUUUUUAAUGAUCUCUCCCAUGUCAUCAGUUUCCUGCUCUGACUCCUUCACAGGUAUAAGGAUGUCAAAUAUUCCUGUUCACAUGCGUCACAACCCUCUUCAGACUUACCUGUGACAACUUGGUGAGAUAUUUGUACAUAGAGGAAAAACAAUAUUUUUUCCUUUUAGUAUUAAAUUAAAACAUUUAAUAUUUUUAAUGUUGGUAUUUCCAGAUGUAUCAUUUAUAUCCCGAGUCUGUCUAGAGACUUCCAGAAAGAGACAGGCAGCUCAGAAGUGUGGACCCUUGAGCUCUGGUGCUAUCGUGUGUGUAGCUCAGUCGACCAGAGGCUGGGAAUUCCUUCUCUCUGCAAAGAUCCUCGAUAUUUAUAAUACAGCGAAAGACAUUUUGUCCUCACUGAGAAACACUCGCUGUUUGGAGAGCGUGUAACACAAACCCCGCUCCCGCCUGUAGCCUCUCUCCCCCUAGUGUCUUCCCUGCUCUGUCCGUAGGUAUUGGAGACAAGAGCCCUUAAGAGGCACUUCCAGACAGUCUGCUUUGAAAUGUCUUUUGUUUCCCAUUCAAAUUUUCGUUUCUGUCUCCUGUGUUU